GUCCCUGUAGCGCUAUGGAUAGCGCGUUGGACUUCUGAUCCAAAGGUCGUGGAUUCAAUUACGAUCUGGGAUG
rnacentral:tRNA from 1 species